UGGGGAAUUUUGGACAAUGGGCGCAAGCCUGAUCCAGCCAUGCCGCGUGCAGGAUGAAGGCCUUCGGGUUGUAAACUGCUUUUGUACGGAACGAAAAGACUCCUUCUAAUAAAGGGGGUCCAUGACGGUACCGUAGAAUAAGCACCGGCUAACUACGUGCCAGCAGCCGCGGUAAUACGUAGGGUGCGAGCGUUAAUCGGAAUUACUGGGCGUAAAGCGUGCGCAGGCGGUUAUAUAAGACAGAUGUGAAAUCCCCGGGCUCAACCUGGGAACUGCCUUUGUGACUGCAUAGCUAGAGUACGGUAGAGGGGGAUGGAAUUCCGCGUGUAGCAGUGAAAUGCGUAGAUAUGCGGAGGAACACCGAUGGCGAAGGCAAUCCCCUGGACCUGUACUGACGCUCAUGCACGAAAGCGUGGGGAGCAAACA
rnacentral:rRNA from 1 species